GAAUCUUCCACAAUGGGCGAAAGCCUGAUGGAGCGACACCGCGUGAGGGACGACGGUCCUAGGAUUGUAAACCUCUAAAAGGGGGACGAUGAUGACGGUACCCCUUGAGAAGCACCGGCUAACUCCGUGCCAGCAGCCGCGGUAAUACGGAGGGUGCAAGCGUUAUCCGGAAUCACUGGGCGUAAAGGGCGCGUAGGCGGUUUGUUAAGUCCGAUGUUAAAGACCGAGGCUCAACCUCGACACGGCGUUGGAUACCGACAAGCUUGACGGCUGGAGAGGCGAGUGGAAUUGCCAGUGUAGCGGUGGAAUGCGUAGAUACUGGUAGGAACACCCAUUGCGAAGGCAGCUCGCUGGACAGCACGUGACGCUGAGGCGCGAAAGUGUGGGGAGCAAACCGG
rnacentral:rRNA from 1 species